rnacentral:rRNA from 1 species
GAUGAACGCUGGCGGCGUGCCUAAUACAUGCAAGUCGAGCGAACGGACGAGAAGCUUGCUUCUCUGAUGUUAGCGGCGGACGGGUGAGUAACACGUGGAUAACCUACCUAUAAGACUGGGAUAACUUCGGGAAACCGUAGCUAAUACCGGAUAAUAUUUUGAACCGCAUGGUUCAAAAGUGAAAGACGGUCUUGCUGUCACUUAUAGAUGGAUCCGCGCUGCAUUAGCUAGUUGGUAAGGUAACGGCUUACCAAGGCAACGAUGCAUAGCCGACCUGAGAGGGUGAUCGGCCACACUGGAACGUAGACACGGUCCAGAGUCCUACGGGAGGCAGCAGUAGGGAAUCUUCCGCAAUGGGCGAAAGCCUGACGGAGCAACGCCGCGUGAGUGAUGAAGGUCUUCGGAUCGUAAAACUCUGUUAUGAGGGAAGAACAUAUGUGUAAGUAACUGUGCACAGCUUGACGGUACCUAAUCAGAAAGCCACGGCUAACUACGUG